rnacentral:rRNA from 1 species
UACGAAGGGGGCUAGCGUUGUUCGGAAUUACUGGGCGUAAAGCGUUCGCAGGCGGCUUCUCAAGUCAGGGGUGAAAGCCCAGAGCUCAACUCUGGAAUUGCCUUUGAGACUGAGUGGCUUGAGUACGAGAGAGGUGAGUGGAAUUCCCAGUGUAGAGGUGAAAUUCGUAGAUAUUGGGAAGAACACCGGUGGCGAAGGCGGCUCACUGGCUCGUAACUGACGCUCAUGCACGACAGCGUGGGGAUCAAACAGG